AAUUGCCUGCCCUGUUGGUGAUAAGGUGAACAUGUUGAUCCGGCAAGUUAGAUCUUUUGGGAGCUUGGGUAAAGAGUUGGUGAGCAUGCCCCGCAUACAAAGUGCGUGGAAGCCUAAAGACUCUUUCAGGGCACCCACCUAUUAUAUAGGCGGAUCUAAUUUCGCCUUACACGGCAGGGUGGGUUUCAU
rnacentral:other from 1 species